UGCUGCCAAGAGAAAAAAGUAUAAUUGGGGAAAGUGGGUAGAAUCUUUGAGGGAGAAAGGGAUUUGGAGUCCCUAUAGAGCCAUGCCUAUGCUUUUCUGGAUAUUGAUCACGUAUACGGAAGUCAAAAACCAUCUAGGAAUUUCAUCCAAAUGGGUCACUCCAGUAGCUAUACCUCUGCUCCAACUCCCAUGAAGGUGGGGAUGAAAGGUUCAUCUCUUUUCUUUGGAAAAGGACCAUAUUCACCUUGCUCUCUCAGACAUAUUCCUACUUGAAUGGAUUUCUUGAAGUUAUUUUACUGCCACAACAACUUUUAUCUUCUCUGGACCAGUUACGAGUCCAGAAGUUUAGUAAAAGGUACAUCAUCAAUAUUUCAAGUUAUAGGAUUUUGUGGACUAAAAAAUUCACUACAGAUUGGAGUGACUCUGCUAAAUAUAGAUUGUGGGAAAUUCUUGCCAGAUGUCUGUUUCAUCAGGUCCUGGAUAAGGUGGUACUACUCUGGCAAAAACUCUAGCUCAAAGAUUAAUGCCUCCCCCCUGGACUGGACUUGAGUAGUUCAUUAAUAGAAGAGAUGCUGAAUGUUUGUUAGUAAUGGUGACAAACUAUGGAGAAAAUGCUUACUGCAUUAAUUCUUUGAAGGAUUGUUACUGAACUAUUCUAUAUUCUCUACACUAGGAUUGCUAAAGUUCCAGAGACAUUUGUUUCUAAAUGAUUCCAGGGUAUUUUCAUAGAUAUUAAGCUAUGGAUUUGUGAAGAAUAUAUGGCAUUUUGCUACACUGACCACUUGUAAAAGUGUAGAAAUGAAAAAUGGUCUAAUGUCAUCAUAUGAAAGAACAGCACCAAACUUGUGGCCUAGAAAUGCUCUCCUGCUUAAUCCACAAUCCAAAGAUGCAUAAGGACUCUACUAAUGAGCAAAUAGCUGCGUCUCUACAGAUAAGAAAACCAAGACUAAAAGCAUUUAAGCAACCCAUGCAAAGCAACUAAGAUGAUAAUAGAGCAGAGUUUUGAACUCGGGUAAGUCAGUGUGACCAGAAUUUGUAUCUUCAACAUCCAUGCUAUGAUGCCAUCCCUGGAGAUGCUCACUGUGGACUCUGGAUGGGAGAUGUUGCAAAGAAGCUUCAAGAGCUGAAUAGACUGGCUAGAUGAUUUUUAAAUCCUCUUCUUGACAUCCCACUUGCAUAUUCACUUAUAUGUUGAGAACUACUAUUGUAAAAUACAAUGCUGGGUUCUGUGUGAGAUGGAAGCAAGUGGUAUUCUGCAGUUUCAAAAGUGAGCUUGCACUCUAAUGAAGGAGGUAGACAUGCAUAUGUGUAUGACUGAAGAAGGCAGAAUGGAAAGCACACAGCAUAGAGCUGGGGCUGGGUGUGGCACUAUCCAGCCUGAAGCUGAGAAAUGGACACGCUGCAUUUUAAAUCCCAUUCCAUUGACGUCGUUUACUUCAGGACAUACUACCCAGGCCCCUGGAAAGCAGCGUGGAUUGGAUUUACACCUCAUUUCAUGAGCAUGACUCAGAUAUGCAUUGAGGUAUAUUUCUUGAGAGAUUCUAUGACUUAUUUUCCUAGACAGUGGGGAGCUGGUGGCAAUUCCUCAGUAGGUAAAUAAAGUUGAGUAGUAAUGAAGGAAGCUAGAAUUACCAGCGUGGAAGAAUAAGUCACAGAGAAACUGGAGGGAGGCAUCUCAAGGUAUACUCCAGAUGUGAGAUAACAAGGAAAGGAAUCACACACACACAUAAAAACCAGAACAGAUUAAAGUUACAGUUCUAAGAAAGAAUUGAUGAAACCAGACUCCUUAUAGGAUAUGGGUACCAAAGAAAGCGAAAAAAGUUAAAACUGAUUUUUCAAAAGUGAGAAUAAAGUGAUGGGAAAAGUAUUCUUUUAAUAGUAUAGAAAGUAUGAAUUUAGUCUGAGUGUGAGGUGCCAAUCACAGUUACCUGGUUAUUGUGAUGAAAAUAUUCCAUGGACAACUGAAAACAUAUUCUUAGUAAUUUGUAAAUGGGCCCAGGUCAGAGAUUCAACCCUGGAAGUCAUUUACAUACUUGCCACUUCUGUUCUCUGUAGAACAGCAACAAAAGCAAUUUCUGAGAGCUUUUAAAAAUGCAGAUUCUCAGGCUCCUUCUCAGGCCUACUGAAUCAGAAUCUGCAUUUUAGUAAGGUUCCCUACAUGACUUGCAUGCACAAAGUUUGAGAAGCACUGUUGUGCAUAGAGGGGAUUGUUAAAGACUAGACAUAGAUAAGAAGGGUACUGCAGGUAAGAUAGAACAUGAUUCCACAUUUAGGAGAUAUAAUAAGGAGUGAGCAAAGGAGAAAAGGAAAGGUGUGAUGGUUAAUAGUGAGUGUCAACUUGAUUGGAUUGAAGGAAGCCAAGUAUUGAUCCUAGGUAUGUCUGUGAGGGUGUUGCCAAAAGAGAUGAACAUUUGAGUCAGUGGACUUGGAAAGGCAGACCCACCCUCCAUUUGGGUGGACACCAUCUAAUCAGCUGACAGCAUAGCUAGGAUAAAGCAGGCAAAAGAAGUUGGAAGGACUAGACUGUCUGAGUCUUCUAGCUUCCAUCUUUCCCCUGUGCUGGAUGCUUCCUCCCCUCAAACAUCAGACUUCAAGUUUUCAGCUUUUGGAUUCUUGGACUUAAUGACAGUGGUUUGCCAGGGGCUCUUGGGUCUUCAGCCACAGACUGAAAGCUGCAUUGUCAGCUUCCCUACUUUUGAGGUUUUGGGACGCGGACUGGCUUCCUUGUUCCUCAGCUUGCAGACGGCCUGUUAUGAAACCUCAACUUGUGAUUCUGUGAGUCAAUACUCCUUAACAAACUCCCCUUCAUGUAUAUACAUCUCUCCUAUUAAUCCUGUCCCUCUAGGAAACCCUAAUACAAAUGGUUAAAGGGGCAAGAGGAAAAUCUAAAUAAAAAUGUCAAAGAAAGAAAGAGUUUAAGAAUAGGUUAAGAAGGAUAAGGACUGAGAAAACUCUACUGGGUUUAGUAACUAAUUGGUCAUUAGUGACCACCAAGAGACAUUUCAGUGGAACAGUGGAAAAGGGAUGGCAACUAGUGAGAAGGGAUGAGGACUGUGCAGAUGGUGCAGAAUUCAGAAUGUGGGAGCCAUAACUCUGAAAAGUUUGGAAAUUAAAAGAGACUGAAAAGUAGCUUAGAAUACAUAACAGGAUCAACAGAAGGCUUUGUUUUCAGGGAGAGAAACUUUGAGCAUGCUUGCCAGCAGGAGGCAGGGCACCACUGCCUGUGAAAGGGCAAAUGGAAGAGAGAGGGGAUCACUGGAGAAGCAAAGGCUUAGACGACAUGGGAAAGAUGGGAUCAUGAGCACUGUCUGAAGUCAGAAUUGUGUUUCUUGGAAAGAAGAGAAGAGAGGUAAAGAUAAAUUCAGGAUGAGGAAAGAGUGAGUUGAUAAAGGAUAGUCUAGAUUUCCUCAGUACUGUGGAAGGUAGAAUAGAUUGGGGGAAGAAAAUAGCAGGGAAUGUAGCCAGGAUGCUGUUGCCAGAAUCCAGGGUAAGGUGAGGCAUGCUUGGAUUGGGAACAUUAGUGUGAAAUGGACAAGGAGAAGACACAGAUGCAGAUAUGGGUACAUCUCAAAAGAAAAACGAAUGUAUCUUCGGGCCUUCAUAAACGAUAGUAGGUGAAAAAUAGAAAAUAAAUGAAGUUUUAAAUUAGAGCCAAUGGGACAAUGAUACUACUUUAGAAAGCAAUACAGAGACAAGUGAGGUGAUAUUUCAAGAGAAAAAGUCUGAGUUUAAUCUUGUCAUGUUGAGUUUGAGGUAAUGGUAACACAUAAAAGUGAGAAUGUUGAUAUCUCACUGGUUAUUUCAUUCAGCAUGUAUUUACUUGGGGCCUCCUAUGUUCCUGAUGCUCUUCGGGGGACCAGGAAGUAACGGUGGGCAAGAUACUCCCUGUCUUCACCGAGCUUAAAACUUACACGGCAAGACAGACAGGUAACAAGGCACUGGGGUCAAUCAGGUGAGAAUUCAGACACUGAAGAUACUCGCUUCUUACAAACUUGGGGGCGGAAAAAAGGCAAGAGAGUCUGCUCUGGACUGGCCAAAAAGGAGAGCCCUCAUUCUACGUUAAGAGUAAGUAAACACGGCCGGGCGCGGUGGCUCACGCCUGUAAUCCCAGCACUUUGGGAGGCCAAGGAGGGCAGAUCACGAGGUCAGGAGAUCAAGAACAUCCUGGCUAACACGGUGAAACCCCACCUGUACUAAAAAUACAAAAAAUUAGCUAGGCAUGGUGGCCGGUGCCUGUAGUCCCAGCUACUCGGGAGGCUGAGGCAGGAGAAUGGCGUGAACCCGGCAGGCGGAGCUUACAGUGAGCCGAGAUCGCGCCUCUGCACUCCAGCCUGGGCGACAGAGCGGGAUUCCGCUUCAAAAAAAAAAAAAAAAAAAAAAAAAAAAACAGAAAAAAAAAACACAAGAUGAGAAUGUUAGAAAAUGCGAAAGUGAUUUCUAAACUAUUCAUAAAGCUUUAAUACGCUGGCAAAAGAGUGAGAACUAAAGCAAUCUUGAAAUCUUUAACAAGUUGGAAACAUGAGAAAGAAAAAAUAAGCUAUUAAUGGUGAAAUAAAUUUGGGUUAAAAACAGUUGACUCUUCAUCAGGGCCAAUUUGAAAGCUUUCUUUCAAAUUGAGGCUCUAUUGAAGACAAAUGGGUACACUCUUCCAUUCAAAGCCCAUUAAGAAUAAAAACUGUAAAUGAAGCACAUCUGCUCUCCGAUGUGAACUUAGAAAGGAAUCUUAAAGCAUGGGAGACCCAUAAAGACCCUAUGCAAAUAGGUACAGAAACAUGCGCCACAAAGGAUAAAGUGAUAUUUCAUUGAUACUUCCAAGCUAAAAACAAAACAAAAACAAUGAGGGUUUUCUAACUGGAAACUUACUACCUAAGAGCUUUGAUAUACAAAGUCCAUAGUCAAAAUAUAAAAACAAAUUUCACUGUUAUUUGCACAGGAUAAAUGAGGCUACACAAACCAAUGUAAAUCAUUUUUUUAAAAAAUCAGAGACUGUACAGAGGGAACCAAAUAUCAAUGAAUUAAAAUGAUACCAAUUGGUGUUCCUGUAGCAAGCCAAGUGCAUUCAGAUUGCAAUGGUUUUGUAAAAAGAUACUCCUGAAGUAAAACUUUAGCUGUAUUAAUCUUCCAAUUUUCAGAAUAUAACCAUCAUUUUUAGCUAUUAUUGCUUAUGCUAACCUACUGGAUUAGUCUAAAUUAUAAAAAAAUUAUGCAUGAACAUAUGAGGGUAGAUUUCUCCAAGUCUAGUCUGCUUCUAAUUACACUAAUUUGUAGUUCUGGCAGAUUUAUUUGGAUGCUUCUAAUAUGUACAGUAUUUCCAGGCUUUUAAAUCGGGGCUAUUAUUUUUUUCCUCAAACAUCACAAAGACUUUAAAUGUCGGUUUAUUAACUAUGCUAAUUAGGGAGAAAGGAAGCAUGGGGAAAUGAAAUUUACUAGUACUCCAAAUACUCCUUUUUAGUCAUUACUGUUUAAUUCUUCCCUUCAACUCAUGUCCUAAUGGUUCCCUACUUUGGUCAAGAAUAUCUUGCUUGUCAUUAUUGUAUCUUUCAAAAGACUUUAUUCAAAAUGAAAUUAUCGAUUUUGAAUAUUGUGAUGUGAUGUGCCUAAUUCCAUCUAUUUGAUAAGAGUAGAGCCAGGGUGCGUGUGCAAGGGGGUGAGGGUGAGGGUGAGAUCCAUGCAUGGUCUGAAUAGCUUGGGCCUUAGAGUCAACAGCCUGGGUUAGAAUCCUAGCUCCAUUAGGUCAUCUGUCCUAACUUUCUCUAUAUUCAUUAUCUCCGGGUGCUGUCAAACCAUGGCAACAUCUAUCAAUUAGAAUCGGUCAUCAGAUAGAUUCUUUUACAGAAGUGUCAGUAGGACAAAGUGAAAUUGGAGGAGAGGCUUGAGAGCGGGAGGAAGAAAUUACUCCAAAUUAUGCUACACAAGUUUGCCAGGUUACUAAACCUAUUGAAACAAGUAGUCCUACAGAUUCAUCAAGCAAGUUGAGUAACCCUUAAAAUUGGGUUGCAUUUUGCUGUAAGACUACAAAAUUUCCUUUCUUCCUUCCUCUCUUCUCCCUUUCUCUCUCCAUAACUUUAUCAAGAUAAUUUUUAAAAAGAAAAAGAGCAAUCCAUAAGUGUUUAUUUUCUCAGCAUUAGUACCCCAGACCAAUCCAUUAGGAACCGGAAUUAUCACAAGGAGGCAUGUUCUUUUGAGUCCAUUUUCCAAACAAAAUAAGUCAUGGGAUUAGUGGUGGGUGAAAUAAAAAGUAUUUCAGAUUCUUUGAAGCAUUUCAAAAUUAUUUUUCAAAAAAUUGGGUUUUGGAAAUAUCUUCUACAUGUUUUUCCAAGUAUUCAUCCCUUGAGAACCAUGGGCAUAUGAAGGGAAAUUUGAUUUUUUUCUUGAGUCUAGAUUUCCCAACGUCAGAUGAAAGGUGAUUUUGAGAACUUAUAAACACUUUAAAAAUUCCUUCAUUUUAGUUUGAUUUGGACAAAUAAAAAUAAAUAAAACACUACAAAAAACAUAAACAUGGCCAAAAAGCACAUUAAGAAGUAUGCAAUAGCCUUAGUGUAAGGGAAAUACAUAUCAAAACUGUAAUGAAAAACUACUACACUAGAAUGGCUAAAAUGAAAGAUGCUGACAACACAAAAUGCUGCUUUAGAAUGUGGAGCAAUCAGAGCUCUCCUACAUUGCUUGUGGGAAUGUAGAUGGAAAAAUUAGGCAAAAAAUAAUCAAAUAUACGUAAUAUACAUCUUCCUAUAACUCAGAAAUUCCACUUAUGUUUAAGAGAAAUUAAAAUGUCCACCAAAAUUUUAUGCGAAAAUGUUUAUACAGUCUGUAUUCAUAUACAUAAAAAAAAACAACAUAAUUCAGGUGCUCAUUAGCAAGAGAAUAAACUUUUGAAUAUUCACAUAAUAGACUAUCACUCAGGAGUACAAAAAAGAAUGAAUUAUUGAUAUCCGCAAUGUCAUGAAUGAAUCUCAAUGCUCAGCGAAAGAAGACAGUCAGAAAACCCAUACUAUAUGACUCCAUUUAUAUGGAAUUCUAGAGUAGGCAAAACUAAUCUAUGGUGAUAGAAAUCAAAUCAAUGGUUGUUUCUGGAGGAAAGUACUUUCUAGAGUGAUAAAAUUUUUCUGUUUCCUGAUGGGUAUUGGAUACAUGGUUAUAGGCAUUUGUCAUAACUCAAACUGUACACUAAUAUUUAUGCAUUUUACUGUGUUUAAAUUAUACCUCAAUAAAUGUUUUUUAUUCAAAAAGGAAUAAGAAAACUUCUGAAAUGUAAAAAUCACUUUGAAUGUAUUUAAAAUAGAAAACUUUAAAAAUAAA
rnacentral:lncRNA from 10 species